rnacentral:piRNA from 1 species
UUGACAGGGCCUAAGUGACAUACCCAGAGUC